CACGGGGGGAGCAAGCGUUGUUCGGAAUCACUGGGCGUAAAGGGCGUGUAGGCGGUCAAGUAAGUGGGAUGUGAAAUCCCUCGGCUCACCCGAGGACCUGCAUCCCAAACUGCUUGGCUUGAGUAUGGGAGAGGAUGAGGGAAUUCCUGGUGUAGCGGUGAAAUGCGUAGAUAUCAGGAGGAACACCAGUGGCGAAGGCGGGUCUCUGGACAGUUCCUGACGCUGAGGCACGAAGGCCAGGGGAGCAAACGGG
rnacentral:rRNA from 1 species